ensembl:snoRNA
UGCCGCUGAUGAGUGUGCCAUGCUAAUACCGACCGGCGUUGGCCGGGUUGAGUUGAACCUUAUCUCAGGACGUUCUGAGGCAC